GGAGCUUGCUUUAUAUAACUUAGCAGCGAACGGGUGAGUAACACGUAGAUAAUCUAUCCUAUACUGGGGGAUAGCCCGGUGAAAGUUGGAUUAAUACCGCAUAUAGCUAUAUAGUUGCAUGAUUAUGUAGUGAAAGAUUUAUUGGUAUAGGAGGAGUCUGCGGCACAUUAGCUAGUAGGUGAGGUAAAGGCUUACCUAGGCGACGAUGUGUAGCCGGUCUGAGAGGAUGAACGGCCACAAUGGAACUGAGACACGGUCCAUACUCCUACGGGAGGCAGCAGUGGGGAAUAUUGCACAAUGGGGGAAACCCUGAUGCAGCAACGCCGCGUGAGUGAAGAAGGUUUUCGGAUUGUAAAGCUCUGUUAGCAGGGAAGAGGAAGGACGGUACCUGCAGAGGAAGCCACGGCUAACUACGUGCCAGCAGCCGCGGUAAUACGUAGGUGGCAAGCGUUGUUCGGAAUAACUGGGCGUAAAGGAUGCGUAGGCGGUUAAACAAGUUAUAUGUUAAAUAUAUAGGCUUAACCUGUAGAAAGCAUAUAAAACUGUUUAACUAGAGUGCAGGAGAGGUAAGUGGAAUUCCUAGUGUAGCGGUGAAAUGCGUAGAGAUUGGGAAGAACACCAGUGGCGAAGGCGACUUACUGGACUGUAACUGACGCUGAGGCAUGAGAGCAUGGGGAGCAAACAGGAUU
rnacentral:rRNA from 1 species